AUCGCUUUGGCCGAGUGGUUAAGGCGUGUGCCUGCUAAGUGCAUGUGGUUUCCAGAGUUCGAAUCUCUUCGGCGACG
rnacentral:tRNA from 1 species